CCCUCUGAGCUGCAUCCCGGAGGCCAGGCGAGGGGCUGCUACACAGAGGGCGAGCAACAAGUACUGGCUGAGAGGGAGCGAAAAAGAGACCACUGGGAACAUUGAAGCUAAAAGUACCUGAAAAACAGCAGGUACAGGAUCACUCUGAAACCUCGUGACUUUCCUUUUCUUUUAUUGUUCUCUGUCUCUCUCUUCCUUCUUUCCUUCUUUCCUUCCUUCCUUCUUUGUUACCAGUACUGGGGAUUGAACCCAAGCUUUGCCCUGAGCUUUAUCCUCAACCCAUUUCUUGUCUUUUAUUUUGAGACAAGGUCUUGCUAAGUUGGCCGGGCUGGGUUCAAACUUGAGAUCCUCCUUCCUCGGCCUCCAAAAGUGCUGGAAUUACAGGCUGCACCCCAUAUCCAGCUCGUGACAUUUCUUUUCUUUCUUCUUUUUUUGGUACGGGGAUCGAACUCAGGACUUUGCACUUUCGAGGCAGGCGGCGGCACCACUGAGCUAAAUCUCUGCCCCCCCCCCCCGACAUUUCUUAAAAGCAGAAGAUGAAACUCCCACGGGAAAGAUGUGAAACCCAUUCCUCAAAGAUGACAGUGCUAAGAGGGAGAUGGGAGUGCAGUCUGCCACCCCUGCUAGGAAAUGUAUGAGCGAAUAAAUGAUUGAGUGAACUUUAAUGAAUGAACAAAGAAGUCAAAUAUUCAAUUCAUGUUUUUUAAAAAGUAAACUAAUCUAUUAAGAGCGCAAAGUUGUGAGGCUCUUCUGCCUAAUAGCAACAGCAAUCUGGCUCUUUAGAAAUGAAAAGCAGUCCUUCUCUGAGUCAGCAAUGUCUGGAGACAUUUUGGGCUGUCACACCUAGGGCAGGGGAGCUACUGGCAUGUAGCAAAGAGACGGGGGCUGCGGCUAAACAUCCUGCGCUGUCCAAGACACGCCCUGCCAGUAGUGCUGAGGCCAAGGGAGCUGCUCCCAUGUAGGGGCUGCAUGGGGACUUCGGUGGGGCCGGCACUGCCGGCUGCAGACUGCUGGCAGCAGAAGGUGCCACUGAGACAUUUACUCUAAUUCAAAGCAAAGAUUUGAAAAUUAAAGUGGACAGUGCUAUGGUUUGGAUUUGAAAUGCUCCUUAAAACCCACGUGUAAAGGCUGAGUGAUGGUCUUUUGAAGAAGUGAUUGGAUCCUGAGGGCUCUAACUUCAUCAAGUGGAUUAACCCGUUGACAGGAUCACAAUUUGAUGGCAUUAUUGAGAGGCAAUGGAAACAGAAGGCGAGGCCUCGUUGAAGGGAGUAGUUCAUGCGGUAUCACCUUGGAAACUGUAUCUGCUCCCCAGCCCCUUCUCUGGCUCUUUCCCAUUCUCUUUCCUUCUCAGUUGCUGUGCUAUGAGCAGCUCUCCUCUACCACACCCUUCCAUCAUGAUGUUUCUGCCUCGCCUCAGGCCUAAAACAAUGGAGCAGCUGACCAUGGACUGAACCUCUAAAACCGUAGCAGCCACCUCUGAGGCAGCAUGCUUGGGACCCCCGUGUCCAGUGUUGAAGGGGCAACUCUGAAGAUGGAUGGAUGUAUAGGAUCCAACCUGCAAGUUUAUUGCUGACAGGGGGUCGAAUGAGGACUGAAGACAAAAGACACAGAGAUCAUGUGGAAGAGGAGGCACUUGGGGCUUUCCCGCAAUGGACAGUGAGCCCCCAACUGACAGUGCUCACUUGUAUUAGACUCGCACAAAGAAGAAACACAGGAGCAUGUGAUCCAGGGUUCCGGGAAAGUUCACCAGGUUCUCAUAACUGGCAGUCUGUACCUGGAUGUGUAUGUUCUCUCAUCAGACUUGGGCUGUAGUUGUUUCUUUCCUUGAAACUGGCUGAUGCCAGCAUGCUAGCGAACAGCCCAAGGGGGGAAGGGCUUGCUAUCCUCUUCCAGCGUCUCAAGGAGAGCUCAACUCAGGCCUCAUCUCACAGCUGCUUUCCCACACUGACGCCUCCAAGUGAGAACGCUGGAUGAUACGAAAGGCCGAAGGGGAUGUCGUGGAGAGGAGCCACCUCGCUCCUGUGGGAGAACCGACACCAGAGCCCAGACACACUGAAGGUGGUCACAGGGAAACAGGAGGACACCGGUGUGGUUUUGGAGUCACUGAACUGCGUAAAGCUGGAAACUGACCUGGAAAGGAGGUUGCAUGCAGGGGCCAGUGACUCCAGUGCACAAGGAAAACAGCAGAACCUGGAUUUGACCAACUGCCCGUGGCACACCUGCACGGCCACCUCUGAGGCGAGCUCCUGCCACCCCUGGUCUGCUCCAAGCUAUGGAGCAGGAGCUGUUUGUACAGUAGUCUCACAAGGCAGCCAUGGCCAGACCCCCAGGAAACCCAGAAUGACAACCCAGCCUGGUGGAACCCAAAGGACUCCCUCUGGAAAGGCCAAACAAGACAGAAACUGGUGGUGUUGGGGGAGACCCUGCACAGAGACAACAUUUACAAAGCGCACAGUAACAAUACUUGUGUCACUGUGACAGAAUAAAUAGACAAUUGCUUAAAAAAAUAAACCUUGCCCGGGCUAUUUUCCAGGAACCUCACAUCCAGAGAACACUUUGGAUUGAGAAUGCAUCAUUCUCAGCCUCAAGGGCCCCCCUGCUCCAGGAAGUCCACUCUGAUUCCCCAGCCAGAGAUGCUCCUCUGAGUCCCCUCGGACUCCACAGGCCCCUCUGGGACAUUGUCACCAAUCCUCACACCCUAUCAGUAGUCAGACACCUCCUCUGAGUCCUGUGUCCACAGCGAUCACUACUGCGUGCGUUUACUCAGUGUUUGCCAGUAACUCUCACACCUGCUGUAGCAACAAUAAAGCCCAACAUCUAGAGGGUUGACACGGGGACAAGCCCUGCACUAGAGCUUCCUGUGACCCCUACUCAGCAGUGGGAGAUGAGUGCGACUUUCACGUCUCACGUCCGCUCCACAGAUGUAAAAGUCGACACAGCUAUUGUAGACUGCUGAAUGUUCCCGACACGCGUUCUAUUCUUUUUGCUUUCUGUAUACGUCAGCAUAGGACAGGCUUUGCUCAGGUAACAAAUAAACAACAAAACCUCAGCGGAUUAAUGACAUUGGCUUUAUUUCUUGCUCACACCACAGUUGGCUUUGAGUCUGCGGCCCUUGUCCAUGAUAAGGCCAAGUCUUUCUGGAAUGUUUGCCCUCCGUGCCCAGGGCUGGAGAAGUGAGUUUGGAGGACAUACCCUGCUGUUAAUUGCCUUGUCUGGAGGUGACCCCCACUCCCUCUCAUGGCCCCAGGGCCCCAGCCAUACUGGAAGGAGUCUGCGACACACAGGACUGUGCUAGCUUCCCAUCACUGUGAAAAAACACUGUGAAAAUCAUCUUAAAGGAGGAAAGGUUCAUUUUGGCUGACAGUUUCAGCCCAUGACUGGCUGGCUCCAUUGCUUCCUGUGGGGAGGCACAACAUCAUGGUGGCGGAGUAUGUAGCGGAGGAGGCUGCUCACCUCAUGGUGGCCAGGAAGGAAAGGAGGGAGGGAGGGAGGAAGGGAGGCUCCAAUAAACCCUUCAAGGGCACCUCCCUGCCCACCUACUAAAGGUUCCACCAACCUCCCAGGAGCACCACAGGCUGGUGGCCAAGCUUACAGCACAGGAGCCUUUGGGGUCGUUCCAGACCCAAACCCUAGCAGGGACCAGUCCAUGUUGGGUGGGAUACUCUGGCUCUGCCAGUUCUGUUCUGAGUGGUAGUGUGUCCUGCUAAGACACCAUGUUUUGGGUCUCCCAUGCUCCAUCAGCAGUCAUCCAGGAGAGUUUUCCUUCCCCACACUUACACCACCCCUUCCUCCUCCAUCCUUCCUUCUUCAGCUUCCUUUUCAGAACACAGAUACAGCAUUGGAGAGAGAGGGCAGCCACACUUGAGUGAAGAGGAAGCCGCAUGAGAAUGAGAGAUACAAUUUAAAGAUGGUGGAGCCCAAGAACCAGAGUUGGGACAAGGAAGUCUCCUGGAGCCGUGCUCAGUGCUGCCCCCACAGCUGAGACACUGUGAUUGCUCUCUCCUGCUGGGGACCUGAGAGCAGCUGCCAAGGGAGCUAGGACCCAGGACCCAGGCCUCUGCUCCUGUUGGGAUGGCCAACAAGAGGCUUCCCUGUACCCACUCCCUAUUCCUGGCCACUGGUUUGAGCUCCUUCCCUUUUCCCUCAGGCUUGGGGUGGGUAGCAGCUUUCUCUUGAGCUACUUUGUGCUUUACCACCCCUUCCUGGUCUUCUAAUCCUACCCAGACCAUUCCUGAUGGUUCCUCCAUUCAGCCAUCUGCACCCUAGCCUUUGAGCUGCCAUGUGGUUCAUGGCAAAACAGAUCUGUCUCCCUACGUCUUCUACCCUUUGGUCUUCAUUCUGCACUCUGGAAGAAUGAAGACCUUCCAUUGAAGUUUCUGUGCCAGGCAGACUUAAUUUCAUGUCUAGAUUCUAUUAUGCUAAGGAGUUCAAUCAUGUGCCUACAAUUACCCAGCUGAUAUUUCCCAGUUUUGGCAUCUGUUAUGUGGGGAUAAUACCAGAAUUUCAGGGGACUAUUGUGAUUCAACAAAGUCAGCAAAACAAAACCAGGGAAAUCUGAACUUCAGAUCAAUGAAUAAUUUUUGCUGUAACUAUUUGUGCAAUGUUCAUACUUUAAAAAUAGCAUGGUGUUUAUCUGAGAUACAGAUGUAACUGGGUGUUCUGUAUCUUCCCGGGAGCUCCUGUAACUGUGAGGUACACGUGGCUCCCCUCUGCCCACACACAUUCUCUCUCCUUAACCUCCAGCGAAUGGUAGCAGCUAAUCUUAAUCCCUGCAUUCCUGCCCUUAACACAGUACUUGACAUCCUCUCAAAAACAGCAAAAUCACUGAAAAACAAAGUGAAUGAACAGAGGAACUGAGAACCGGGGGGAGGCAAUUUGUGAGAGGCAGGAGAUGCUCAGUUGGAAAGUGGCAAAGUGUCUAGAACUUCUAGCCAAUGUUCCACACAUCACAUUAAAGAUUUUUAUUUAUUUA